GACAGGAUGGUGGAGUGGUUAACACGUAGCACUGCUAUUACCCUAGUAAUGCUAUGCCUUCGGGCGCCUGCGUUCGAAUCGCAGUUCUGUCG
rnacentral:tRNA from 1 species